AGAUUUAGGGGCCUGUGGGUACAAUGUAAGAAGCAUACAGCAUGCAUCCCCAAUCUUGUCUGACUGUGUUGCAAGCUUAAUAAACAGCAAGGUUAGAAACUACCGGUCUCAUCCACAGCUCUAACUUGAAAAAUACCUAGCGCAGCGAUGAAGGUCCCCCCCAGGCUAGGAGUGGGGGAAAUGGCUAUGUUUUGUAGAGCUUAAAGGAUGCAGCCUGAGACGGGGUGCAGAGAAGCUCACGCAGAGGCCGGGCCCGAGGUGCACGCAGCCGCCGCCUGAUCCACGCAGACGCUCGAGGACUCACAGUGUGUGGUACGUUCACACAGCUGGGGCUGUGCUUUGGAUGGGCCUGUAGAGGGUAUGACCUGAGCUCACGCCGCGGUGAUGCUGGAUAUGCCACAGUAGCCGGCUGAGAAAGUUUCUCGUUGGUUUUGAUAUUUAGAUGCUUCGGUUUUCCUUUUAUUUAUUUGUUUUUGGCUGGUUGAGUAACUGCAUGUGUUAAUGAUACAUCAGCUCCAACUUUCUUCUGCUCCCUUUGCACCGAGAAGAGCCUCGUAGGCAAUCCAGAUAUUUCAGCCAGAAGCCCAGCCAAGCCAAGGGCAUCAAGCGAAAAGCCUCUUUCUGUUUCUAAAUAGUGUUUUUAGCCUCUCCACUUGUCGCUCCUCAUCUUCCCGUGGUGUCUUGUCGAUUCCAAACUGAUUCCCCGGAGACUCCUUAAGGGGCCUCAUAACCCUACAGAGGAACCUGCGGGGUGCGCUGAAGGAGCCGGUGCCUGUAACCCACGUGGCCCAGCACCUCUCGCUCCUUCAGAGGAGCAGGGCGGACAGUCGGGGGGAAAGGGGACAUUUUUCCAAGUGUCGUUCGUUGGUGAAAUUCCCCUUUACUGUGGAUUUGCACACGGAGAAGCAAAUGUUGAUCAGGCUGUUGCGCCCGUGUUGGACUGGGCCAUGGUGGGCACUUUCGGCUUAUCUUUUUCACUUCUUGCUGUGCCCUUAAAAAAGAAAUGCCACCCCCCAUAGCCAUGAGGACCCGGGGCUGCGGGGGGCGGACAACCAGCCCCGUCACACAGAUUGCACUGAACCCACCCUGAGUGUCCACCCGGAGUCCCCGUCCCGGGCCGGGACAUCUCAGGAGGCCGUUUGUACCCCUCUCGGAAUCAGUCUUGAGACAUGAUUUCAUUAAUUCUCAAUUCCAUUAAGGGGUGUUGGCCACCUUGGCCCUGUCCGGCGACCUGGAGUCACUCAUGUGACCUUUCUGGGCCUCGGGGUGGGUUGCGAAACGCUGCUCUUACAAAUAACGUCAGGGCUGUGAGAGACUAACUCGUAUGUUUAUUUCCCAAACAACUCAUUUUUAAUUGUUCAGGAUUAUACGUUUUUCCAAAGCAUUCUCUCUUUCGUCUCCCUCCCUUUUCCAUGUCAAAGUCAUCAGGGUCAUGUUUUCUGAAUGUUGUCCUUCCCACGCACAUGCAACUGCCAGAGAGAGACGUUUUCACUUUAGUUUUCUUUACCCAAUUCGCAUACGCUCACCGCACAAAAAUUAGGACGUUAGAAUGCACAUAUAGUAGAUAAAAAGUUAAAACACUGGAAACACCAGAAUUCCGUGAUAACUGCAAUUGGUGUCUUGGUUCGGAGCCUUUGGAAUUGUUCUCUUUGCACUGACUUUACCUUAAGAUGGAUCUCACCAUACAUUUUGUUCUUUAGCCCGUUUUUGCUGGACGUAUGGAAUGCCUUGCCCUUUCAGUAAAUACAUUUCGGUAACAUCCGUUUUCUUGGUUACUAGUAUUCCACUUCAUAGCUGUGCUGAAAUAUAUCUAAUUGUUGUAAUUUUUAUUAGCUGGCUUUUUAAAAUUCCACUUUACAAAAAAGUCUUCAUAGCCAGUGCUUUACCUGAAACUCUUGCACUGUUAAUUAUUUCCUUCACAUAAAUUCAUAGCCUUGUUGCCGUGAGCUGUGGUGUAGGUUGCAGACGCGGCUCGGAUCCCGCGUUGCUGUGGCUCUGGCGUAGGCCGGUGGCUACAGCUCCGAUUGGACCCCUAGCCUGGGAACCUCCAUAUGCCGCGGGAGCGGCCCAAGAAAUAGCAACAA
rnacentral:lncRNA from 1 species